GGGUUGUGAGGUUAAGCGACUAAGCGUACACGGUGGAUGCCCUGGCAGUCAGAGGCGAUGAAGGACGUGCUAAUCUGCGAUAAGCGUCGGUAAGGUGAUAUGAACCGUUAUAACCGGCGAUUUCCGAAUGGGGAAACCCAGUGUGAUUCGUCACACUAUCAUUAACUGAAUCCAUAGGUUAAUGAGGCGAACCGGGGGAACUGAAACAUCUAAGUACCCCGAGGAAAAGAAAUCAACCGAGAUUCCCCCAGUAGCGGCGAGCGAACGGGGAGCAGCCCAGAGCCUGAAUCAGUGUGUGUGUUAGUGGAAGCGUCUGGAAAGGCGCGCGAUACAGGGUGACAGCCCCGUACACAAAAAUGCACAUGCUGUGAGCUCGAUGAGUAGGGCGGGACACGUGGUAUCCUGUCUGAAUAUGGGGGGACCAUCCUCCAAGGCUAAAUACUCCUGACUGACCGAUAGUGAACCAGUACCGUGAGGGAAAGGCGAAAAGAACCCCGGCGAGGGGAGUGAAAAAGAACCUGAAACCGUGUACGUACAAGCAGUGGGAGCACGCUUAGGCGUGUGACUGCGUACCUUUUGUAUAAUGGGUCAGCGACUUAUAUUCUGUAGCAAGGUUAACCGAAUAGGGGAGCCGAAGGGAAACCGAGUCUUAACUGGGCGUUAAGUUGCAGGGUAUAGACCCGAAACCCGGUGAUCUAGCCAUGGGCAGGUUGAAGGUUGGGUAACACUAACUGGAGGACCGAACCGACUAAUGUUGAAAAAUUAGCGGAUGACUUGUGGCUGGGGGUGAAAGGCCAAUCAAACCGGGAGAUAGCUGGUUCUCCCCGAAAGCUAUUUAGGUAGCGCCUCGUGAAUUCAUCUCCGGGGGUAGAGCACUGUUUCGGCAAGGGGGUCAUCCCGACUUACCAACCCGAUGCAAACUGCGAAUACCGGAGAAUGUUAUCACGGGAGACACACGGCGGGUGCUAACGUCCGUCGUGAAGAGGGAAACAACCCAGACCGCCAGCUAAGGUCCCAAAGUCAUGGUUAAGUGGGAAACGAUGUGGGAAGGCCCAGACAGCCAGGAUGUUGGCUUAGAAGCAGCCAUCAUUUAAAGAAAGCGUAAUAGCUCACUGGUCGAGUCGGCCUGCGCGGAAGAUGUAACGGGGCUAAACCAUGCACCGAAGCUGCGGCAGCGACGCUUAUGCGUUGUUGGGUAGGGGAGCGUUCUGUAAGCCUGCGAAGGUGUGCUGUGAGGCAUGCUGGAGGUAUCAGAAGUGCGAAUGCUGACAUAAGUAACGAUAAAGCGGGUGAAAAGCCCGCUCGCCGGAAGACCAAGGGUUCCUGUCCAACGUUAAUCGGGGCAGGGUGAGUCGACCCCUAAGGCGAGGCCGAAAGGCGUAGUCGAUGGGAAACAGGUUAAUAUUCCUGUACUUGGUGUUACUGCGAAGGGGGGACGGAGAAGGCUAUGUUGGCCGGGCGACGGUUGUCCCGGUUUAAGCGUGUAGGCUGGUUUUCCAGGCAAAUCCGGAAAACUAAGGCUGAGGCGUGAUGACGAGGCACUACGGUGCUGAAGCAACAAAUGCCCUGCUUCCAGGAAAAGCCUCUAAGCAUCAGGUAACAUCAAAUCGUACCCCAAACCGACACAGGUGGUCAGGUAGAGAAUACCAAGGCGCUUGAGAGAACUCGGGUGAAGGAACUAGGCAAAAUGGUGCCGUAACUUCGGGAGAAGGCACGCUGAUAUGUAGGUGAAGUCCCUCGCGGAUGGAGCUGAAAUCAGUCGAAGAUACCAGCUGGCUGCAACUGUUUAUUAAAAACACAGCACUGUGCAAACACGAAAGUGGACGUAUACGGUGUGACGCCUGCCCGGUGCCGGAAGGUUAAUUGAUGGGGUCAGCGCAAGCGAAGCUCUUGAUCGAAGCCCCGGUAAACGGCGGCCGUAACUAUAACGGUCCUAAGGUAGCGAAAUUCCUUGUCGGGUAAGUUCCGACCUGCACGAAUGGCGUAAUGAUGGCCAGGCUGUCUCCACCCGAGACUCAGUGAAAUUGAACUCGCUGUGAAGAUGCAGUGUACCCGCGGCAAGACGGAAAGACCCCGUGAACCUUUACUAUAGCUUGACACUGAACAUUGAGCCUUGAUGUGUAGGAUAGGUGGGAGGCUUUGAAGUGUGGACGCCAGUCUGCAUGGAGCCGGCCUUGAAAUACCACCCUUUAAUGUUUGAUGUUCUAACGUGGACCCGUGAUCCGGGUUGCGGACAGUGUCUGGUGGGUAGUUUGACUGGGGCGGUCUCCUCCUAAAGAGUAACGGAGGAGCACGAAGGUUGGCUAAUCCUGGUCGGACAUCAGGAGGUUAGUGCAAUGGCAUAAGCCAGCUUGACUGCGAGCGUGACGGCGCGAGCAGGUGCGAAAGCAGGUCAUAGUGAUCCGGUGGUUCUGAAUGGAAGGGCCAUCGCUCAACGGAUAAAAGGUACUCCGGGGAUAACAGGCUGAUACCGCCCAAGAGUUCAUAUCGACGGCGGUGUUUGGCACCUCGAUGUCGGCUCAUCACAUCCUGGGGCUGAAGUAGGUCCCAAGGGUAUGGCUGUUCGCCAUUUAAAGUGGUACGCGAGCUGGGUUUAGAACGUCGUGAGACAGUUCGGUCCCUAUCUGCCGUGGGCGCUGGAGAAUUGAGGGGGGCUGCUCCUAGUACGAGAGGACCGGAGUGGACGCAUCACUGGUGUUCGGGUUGUCAUGCCAAUGGCACUGCCCGGUAGCUAAAUGCGGAAGAGAUAAGUGCUGAAAGCAUCUAAGCACGAAACUUGCCCCGAGAUGAGUUCUCCCUGACUCCUUGAGAGUCCUGAAGGAACGUUGAAGACGACGACGUUGAUAGGCCGGGUGUGUAAGCGCAGCGAUGCGUUGAGCUAACCGGUACUAAUGAACCGUGAGGCUUAACCUUACAACGCCGAAGGUGUUU
rnacentral:rRNA from 1 species